rnacentral:rRNA from 1 species
CACGGGGGGAGCAAGCGUUGUUCGGCAUCACUGGGCGUAAAGGGCGUGUAGGCGGCUAGGCAAGUGAGAUGUGAAAUGCCUCGGCUCACCCGAGGCACUGCAUUCCAAACUGCUUGGCUUGAGUAUGGGAGAGGAUGAGGGAAUUCCUGGUGUAGCGGUGAAAUGCGUAGAUAUCAGGAGGAACACCGGUGGCGAAGGCGCUCAUCUGGCCCAAUACUGACGCUGAGGCGCGAAAGCUAGGGGAGCAAACGGG